UACGUAGGGUGCAAGCGUUAAUCGGAAUUACUGGGCGUAUAGCGUGCGCAGGCGGUUUUGUAAGUCUGACGUGAAAUCCCCGGGCUCAACCUGGGAAUUGCGUUGGAGACUGCAAGGCUAGAAUCUGGCAGAGGGGGGUAGAAUUCCACGUGUAGCAGUGAAAUGCGUAGAGAUGUGGAGGAACACCGAUGGCGAAGGCAGCCCCCUGGGUCAAGAUUGACGCUCAUGCACGAAAGCGUGGGGAGCAAACAGG
rnacentral:rRNA from 1 species